CCCCUCGGUUGCCAUCUUCGCGCGGGGACGCGGCGGAGAGGGAAGCGGAGAGCGGGAAUGCGCUGAGCCGCGGCGGGCGCCGCUCCAGCAGCCGUCCCCGACCCCGAGCACCGCCCUGCGGCCCCGCCUUCCGCGAUGACGCCAGCAGCUGCGGGCCCGGCUGCUGCGCCUGAGCCCCAAGACCCCCGCACCUGGGCGCGCGCUCUGGCGCGCAGUGCCUGGUGCGAUGUCCGCGUCAGCCUCUCUCCUCCGGGAGAGGCAGGGAGUGUGACGCCCAUUUUACCAGCGGGCAAACUGAGGCUUAGGGAUGCUGGGUGAUUUGCCCGAGGACGCACACAGAGGGAAGGGCCAAGCCAGGAUUCCAACUCGGGACUCCCCGAUUCUGGGGAGACCGGUGAGGACCCCGCGACAUGGCCCUCCCAUCCCCAAGCCUCUCGUGCAGAUCUCCGCUCUGUGGGACUUGAUUGCGGGCUGCGGGCCCGUGGCUCCUGCAGGCAGAGAGAGGACGGGAGAGGAGACGGCUACGAGGCUUGGCCGCAGGUAGCUACGGUGCUCCCCCAACAAGGAACCGGAAACCCUCUUCGUUUGUUGAUCUACAUAUACAAAAGUAAAAGUAGUUGCUGGGUUCUCAGACGGAGUCUCUGCGGCAUUAGGAGACCCACCCUUAUUUUCUCUUUUCUUCACGCAGGAAUCAGGUCCCUGGCCUGGGGGCGGCAAAAGGAGAUGGCGGUGGGUCAGUGGGCGCGCAGGCUCAGACCUGGGGCUUCUGAGCCCACGCCCAGGCAUCUCGGACCCCUCACUUCUGAGGCCAUCUCCUGCCCUUUAGAAUGAAGGGCUGGCACAGUUCUGCCAGGAUGCACGUUUAGUGAUUCUGUCAGACUGAAGCAUCCCCUCGCCGCAAGCGCCUGAAGUGUGAGAGGCACUGUUUUAAGUGCUUUAAUUCGCACUUGUUUAAUCCUCACAGGAGUCAACUUGAAUGGGCACACUUAUUCCCACUUUACAGAAGAGGAAACGGGCACAGAAAGACUGAGUAAUUGCUCAGGGGGCAUGCUCCAAGAAAGAGGGAGAGACAGGAUUUGAACCCAGACAGGCUGGCUCCCUAGUGCUCUGGACUUUGGUGUGGAUGAUCCAACUCAAGCCUUCUCCUUUUUCCCUCCUCUGUGAUCUUGCAUGCGUUUGUGCAGAGAAUGAGAAGGCAGAUCAAAGUUACAGAUGCUGCGAGAACAUCGCCAAGCAGAAUCUUGGGUGCUGUCCCCACCUCUCUGUACCUGCUCCCUAGCAGAGAAGCCAGCCUCCACUUGCUGUCCCGGGCCUUCUCUAUCUGAGAAAAGUUGAAGGAGCACAUGUCCUUGCGCAGGAAGAGGCUGUUCAGCGUGACCGCCCCGAUCAAGAAGAAGAGCUGCUUCACCGCCUGCCUCACAAGCUCGGGGUCCAGGCCAUUCUGGCACAUGGUGGUGUAAAAGUAGCUCAGCUGUUGCAGGACGGAGGUCAUGGUGUAGCCGUCCGUGUCGUCUAUGCUGGAGGAGCGCUUCCGGAAGCCUGUGGGCUUCAGGCCGGAAAUGCCCUGAAGGCUCUCAUACUCCAGCAUUCCCGGAACUGCGGAGAGACAGGGAGGCUGUGCUGACACGCCAGGAGACACACGCGGAACGUUCCCGACGCUCUUCGGUUUGUUUCAGGAGAUGGGACAUUUUUCUACAAGAGUCAGUGGAUGUACUUAUGAUAGAGAAAGCAAAAGAAUCAAGGGUUUGGGACACCAGGGUGUGUGUCAGGGUUAGGGAUGGACGGCUGUUUGCAGCGGGGCUGCAGCUCCUCUUGUAGGUUUGAAGCAGCACAUUUUUCAGCUUCACAGGAAAGAAAGCUGGUUAGCAUGACAACUCAUGGCCUGGGCAUUAAAGCCUAAAGUAUUUAAAUUUCAGGAAAUUAAGGAAAGUAUACAAAAAUUCGAAUGGGGCUUUAGGAUUUCAAAAAUACUUGGCUAAGCCAAGAAGUAGAAGUACCACAUAAAUAGCAGUAGUAGAAGUUUCCCCAAGUUUUUUCCUUCAGGAUAAAUCAUCCUUAUAGAAAGAAAACUACCAACAGCGUACUAUUAUUUAUGGAAUCAUUAUAAGCAAGCAAAGAAUUAAAAGGCAGAUAUCUACAUGAUUAUAUUUCCUUGGCUUUUUAAACAAUGUUACACAUAAUCACACAUUACACAUACCAAGUUUAUGUUUUAAAAAGUCUUAAUGUUACUAUAAAUAUUUUUUGGUCAUCCAUUCUCUUCUUACCUAUUAUCGGUUGGAUAUUCUUUUCCAUUAUGAUAAUAAAUUGAUGAUAUAUUCGUAUAGCCACA